GGGCAGGGCGGCAGGGGAGGCGGGCGGCCGUUACUGCGGGGGUAGGGCUACCCCCCGCCUCCCUGCUUCGCUUCGGGUCGCCUCAGGGAUCGGCGGAGCGGUGGGCGCUCUUCCCGGCAGAAAUCGCGGGGCAGGGUCUUCCCGGCAGGCCCGGGGGGCGCUCCUAGGCAGCCGCCUGGUCCGGUGAGCUCCGGCAGCGCCACCCUGCCGCCCGUAGAGGCGCGGUGCGGGCCGGCCGGGGAGGGCACGGCUCCCCCGGGCCGGGGCGCGGGCCCGGCGCAGGACACAGCUGUGCAGGGACGUGUGGGCUGUGACAAGUGGCUGCGGGCCUGGCCGAGGGUGCUGCACGUUGUUACUGAGGAGGGCUUUGCCUCCGGCCAUCACGACCCCAUCGCUGCUUAUAAAUUAUAUAUGCUAUUCUGGAAAAUUAUAUAUAUAAAAAUAUAUGUAUUUUUAUAUAUAUAUAUAUACAUUAUAUAUAUAAAAAGUAUAUUUAAAGUGAUUUUGUAGGUUAAAGUACAUUAAAAAGAAACCACCCCCACCCCCCAAUUAGUAGUUGUUAGCAUCUGAGAGGCAAAUCUUGUUUUAUUCAGCUUAAUCUUUCUUAUAUUUUGUUUGAAACUUAGUGAAAAUAGCAAAAAAUAAUGUUCCUGUAGAGCAAGUAAAAAGCUUAGCUCAGUGUCAACUAAUAAAGUUACAACUGUACAUAUGCACAACGUGCCUUUACAUUUUAAAGCUAUGCCUUUAUUUGGGGAUUUUAUGUCCUGAAAUGUUUUUGUUCUUUUUUCUUUUGUCCUGGCUAGUUGCAGAUACUAGGAGUAUGUAAGCUCCUUGGGUUUAGAUACUGCAUGUUCCUAAGGUAUGGAACCUUGCCUAUACAACCAUACAGCAGGAUUUGUUCAAGGAAUUAAUAUUUAAUGGUAGCAUUAAUACUAGUUAGCCACUGUUUAUUGCAUGAGGAGCUUGCCAGGGUAUAUGGUCAUCACUAGUAGGCUGUGAAUGUUGGAUCAACCAGGAGACAGACCUCUGGAUUUUUUUCACAGGAGUGACAGAAGCAAGAGGAAGGCCAGAUUAAUUAUUCUGCUGUGCUACAGUUUAUGGGCUGUAGGCUGGGAAUUUAUCUUUGUGCAGAUUAUUUACAUGCUCCUAAACCCUUUGUUGCAACAAGAGGAAAUAUAUAUUUCCUGUCACAUAAGAAGGAUUUAGAAGAUUUAUUGUCAUUUAGAAACUCAGAUUAUUUACAAAAUAGUGCGCAAAUACUCUUAAUUUCAAAAAAUUACAGAGAUGCUUAUAUAUAAGUAGAAAACUAAUAUUCAAAUUAUUGCUGCUUAUACAUAAUGGAAAUGUAAAAUAUUUUUCCUUUGAUUUUUCUGCAAGUUUUGAGCAUAGUCUUGCAAUACGUUUUUCUGUUCCUUGACAGGUUUUUCUUCUCCAGGGAUAAAGCCAUAGCUGUAUUUCCCCAUGUAGUCAGUCAGACAGCUAGAAAGAAGAAAAUAGAAGACGGAAGGGUGAAGAAAAAGAAAUUAAGAGUUGCUGACUGUUCUUCAGUGAUGAUUGAAAGGGGGGAAAAAAAUUGAGGCUGGACAGAGCAAUGAAGAAUAGCCACUGCCACUGCGUUAAUUUUCAGUCUGACUACACAUUUUCUUUGGGUACUUAAAAGGAAGUUUAGAAAAUGUUUUCCAUUUCCAAUUCUAUGAUAUGAUUAUUCCUCCAUAAGGAGGUUGAUACAGAAUGAAUUCAAUAAAUGCUUAUUAUUCUUGCUUAA